rnacentral:rRNA from 1 species
CUACGGGCUGCACCAGUGAGGAAUAUUGCACAAUGGGGGGAACCCUGAUGCAGCAACGCCGCGUGGAGGAUGACGCAUUUCGGUGUGUAAACUCCUUUUAUAUGUCAAGAAAACGACGGUAGCAUAUGAAUAAGCACCGGCUAACUCCGUGCCAGCAGCCGCGGUAAUACGGAGGGUGCAAGCGUUACUCGGAAUCACUGGGCGUAAAGGACGCGUAGGCGGGUUGGAAAGUCAGGUGUGAAAUCCUACAGCUUAACUGUAGAACUGCACUUGAAACUUCUAAUCUAGAGUAUGGGAGGGGGAGAUGGAAUUAGUGGUGUAGGGGUAAAAUCCGUAGAUAUCACUAGGAAUACCUAAAGCGAAGGCGAUCUCCUGGAACAUUACUGACGCUAAGGCGUGAAAGCGUGGGGAGCAAACAGGAUUAGAUACCCCAGUAGUC